CGGAGGAAAAGAAACCAACAGGGAUUGCCUCAGUAACGGCGAGUGAAGCGGCAAAAGCUCAAAUUUGAAAUCCUUCGGGAGUUGUAAUUUGUAGGUUGGGAGACCCCGCGGCUAGUGGCACCAAGUCCCUUGGAACAGGGCGCCUUAGAGGGUGAGAGCCCCGUAGGUACCACAACACCGUCUUGUGUCUCCUCUCCAAAGAGUCGAGUUGUUUGGGAAUGCAGCUCAAAGUGGGUGGUAAAUUCCAUCUAAAGCUAAAUACCGGCGAGAGACCGAUAGCGAACAAGUACAGUGAUGGAAAGAUGAAAAGCACUUUGAAAAGAGAGUGAAACAGUACGUGAAAUUGUUGAAAGGGAAGGGCUUGCAAGCAGACACGGCCUUCGUGCCGGGCCAGCAUCGGUUGCUAGGGGUGGAUAAGGAACAAGGAAUGUAGCUCCUCGGAGUAUUAUAGCCUUGCGCGAUACACCCACUGGCGACCGAGGCCUGCGGUAUUCUUUACCUAGGAUGCUGGCGUAAUGGUUGCAAGCCGCCCGUCUUGAAAACCCGG
rnacentral:rRNA from 1 species